GUAGGUGGCAAGCGUUGUCCGGAAUUAUUGGGCGUAAAGCGCGCGCAGGCGGUUCUUUAAGUCUGAUGUGAAAGCCCACGGCUCAACCGUGGAGGGUCAUUGGAAACUGGAGAACUUGAGUACAGAAGAGGAAAGCGGGAUUCCACGUGUAGCGGUGAAAUGCGUAGAGAUGUGGAGGAACACCAGUGGCGAAGGCGGCUUUCUGGUCUGUAACUGACGCUGAGGCGCGAAAGCGUGGGGAGCAAACAGGAUUAGAUACCCUGGUAGUCCACGCCGUAAACGAUGAGUGCUAAGUGUUAGGGGGUUUCCGCCCCCCUUAGUGCUGCAGCUAACGCAUUAAGCACUCCGCCUGGGAGUACGGCCGCAAGGCUG
rnacentral:rRNA from 1 species